UGCGUUCCCCUCAAACCUCCCUGCCUCAAAUGUUGUCAGCCGUGACAUACGAGGGGUAAGACGUCACCAGUGAGUCAGGGCGAUGUCAGAAAGUGACGUGAGGUGACAUGAGAGCCCUGCUGUGAUACUCUGCGCCUUGUCUUGGUAUGUCAUUGUGGAUGUGGACUUGUGUUUCAAGACCUGCAGAGUUGACGGAGGAGGCCGGAGCUCCAGACCCUUUACGUUGCAGCCCUGAGGCCCGGGUGUGAGAAAGCUCAAGUACUGGACUGGCUGGUUCAAAACCGGACACCUGGCCUCCUUACCCCUCCUCCUUAAUCCGCUGCGAGGCUCGUUUGCAUGAACCAAGAGCGCAGAGGCAAACGAAGCACCACCCUGAGGAACUAAUGUAAUCCGCCAGCGGGCACAGGCCUCACGUCACAGACACUGCUGGACUGCGUCCGAAGGCAGUUCCAUGCCUCCAGGAAAGUGCUGAGAACCCCUGAACUGAACAAUGAU